AAUAGAUACCCUGGUAGUCCACGCCGUAAACGAUGAGUGCUAAGUGUUGGGGGGUUUCCGCCCCUCAGUGCUGCAGCUAACGCAUUAAGCACUCCGCCUGGGGAGUACGGUCGCAAGACUGAAACUCAAAGGAAUUGACGGGGGCCCGCACAAGCGGUGGAGCAUGUGGUUUAAUUCGAAGCAACGCGAAGAACCUUACCAGGUCUUGACAUCCCGGUGGCCACUAUGGAGACAUAGUUUCCCCUUCGGGGGCAACGGUGACAGGUGGUGCAUGGUUGUCGUCAGCUCGUGUCGUGAGAUGUUGGGUUAAGUCCCGCAACGAGCGCAACCCUUAUUCUUAGUUGCCAUCAUUCAGUUGAGCACUCUAAGGAGACUGCCGGUGAUAAACCGGAGGAAGGUGGGGAUGACGUCAAAUCAUCAUGCCCCUUAUGACCUGGGCUACACACGUGCUACAAUGGACGGUACAAACGGUUGCCAACCCGCGAGGGGGAGCUAAUCCGAUAAAACCGUUCUCAGUUCGGAUUGUGGGCUGCAACUCGCCUAC
rnacentral:rRNA from 1 species